rnacentral:rRNA from 1 species
CACUCCUGCGGGAGGCAGCAGUGGGGAAUUUUGGACAAUGGGCGAAAGCCUGAUCCAGCCAUGCCGCGUGCAGGAUGAAGGCCUUCGGGUUGUAAACUGCUUUUGUACGGAACGAAACGGCCUUUUCUAAUAAAGAGGGCUAAUGACGGUACCGUAAGAAUAAGCACCGGCUAACUACGUGCCAGCAGCCGCGGUAAUACGUAGGGUGCAAGCGUUAAUCGGAAUUACUGGGCGUAAAGCGUGCGCAGGCGGUUAUGUAAGACAGUUGUGAAAUCCCCGGGCUCAACCUGGGAACUGCAUCUGUGACUGCAUAGCUAGAGUACGGUAGAGGGGGAUGGAAUUCCGCGUGUAGCAGUGAAAUGCGUAGAUAUGCGGAGGAACACCGAUGGCGAAGGCAAUCCCCUGGACCUGUACUGACGCUCAUGCACGAAAGCGUGGGGAGCAAACAGGAUUAGAAACCCCAGUAGUCCCA